rnacentral:rRNA from 1 species
AUUGAACGCUGGCGGCAUGCCUUACACAUGCAAGUCGAACGGUAACAGGUCUUCGGAUGCUGACGAGUGGCGAACGGGUGAGUAAUACAUCGGAACGUGCCUAGUAGUGGGGGAUAACUACUCGGAAGAGUGGCUAAUACCGCAUGAGAUCUACGGAUGAAAGCAGGGGAUCGCAAGACCUUGUGCUACUAGAGCGGCCGAUGGCAGAUUAGGUAGUUGGUGGGAUAAAAGCUUACCAAGCCGACGAUCUGUAGCUGGUCUGAGAGGACGAUCAGCCACACUGGGACUGAGACGCGGCCCAGACUCCUACGGGAGGCAGCAGUGGGGAAUUUUGGACAAUGGGCGCAAGCCUGAUCCAGCAAUGCCGCGUGCAGGAUGAAGGCCUUCGGGUUGUAAACUGCUUUUGUACGGAACGAAAAGCCCCGGGUUAAUACCCUGGGGUCAUGACGGUACCGUAAGAAUAAGCACCGGCUAACUACGUGCCAGCAGCCGCGGUAA